ensembl:lncRNA
CUCGCUCCGGCGCAAAGGUGCUGGGAAUACUUUCCUGAGCCGACAACAGGGGUUACAGAGCGGACGUGGCCGUCUGCAGACAAUUAUCAGUGACAGGACUCAGCCUGCUUUCAGCACAUAGGAUUUGAGACAGAGGCCCUUUGCCCUGGGACAGGAAGCUCAGGCUGCACUCAGCCCAUCGCUAACACAUCUCACAACAGCCUGAGUUAUGUAGCGUCCCCGUCAUCUGCCGAGUCUCAACAGCUGGACUGACAAUUGUUGAACAGCGGAGACAGCGGUGGGAAGCUCUUUGGAAGCAAGGACAUCACAUCGCCAUGAGUGAGGAGUUGCAAGCCAAGGGAAGACGAGAAGGAAAAAGAAGGAGGGGAUGAGGAGAGGAGGGCGCUCGAUACAAAGGAGAAGCCUGGGUUAAGUCAUGAGCGGCAGACGACAUAGGUUGGAUUUUUAACAGAUGAGAUCACAUCCUUUUGCCUGAGAGGCUGAGAGUAUCAUCCUCGUUCAGACAGCUGAGCGCACUCGGCACAAAGCAGGGCAGCAGUCACUAAAACACACAUGCAGACACCCUGCUUCAUAUGCGUACUGUAUGUAAAAACAUACACACACUUGUACACUCACAAACAUGUCCACAUAUUAG